rnacentral:tRNA from 1 species
GGCUCUAUCGUCUAAUAGUUAGGACAGUUGCUUUUCAAGCAAUAAAUCCGGGUGCGAUUCCCGGUAGAGUCACCG